UCAGGACGAACGCUGGCGGCGUGCCUAAUACAUGCAAGUCGAACGGCUUUUCUAUGGAAGCUUGCUUCCACUGAGAAGAUAGUGGCGAACGGGUGAGUAACACGUGGGUAACCUGCCCAUAAGAGGGGGGAUAACAUCCGGAAACGGGUGCUAAUACCGCAUAGUUUUCUUGAUCGCAUGAUCGGGAAAGGAAAGACGGCCUUUGUGCUGUCGCUUAUGGAUGGACCCGCGGCGUAUUAGUUAGUUGGUGAGGUAACGGCUCACCAAGACGAUGAUACGUAGCCGACCUGAGAGGGUGAUCGGCCACAUUGGGACUGAGACACGGCCCAAACUCCUACGGGAGGCAGCAGUAGGGAAUCUUCCGCAAUGGACGAAAGUCUGACGGAGCAACGCCGCGUGAGUGAAAGAAGGUUUUCGGAUCGUAAAACUCUGUUGUCAGAGAAGAACAAGUUGGAGAGUAACUGCUCCAGCCUUGACGGUAUCUGACCAGAAAGCCACGGCUAACUACGUGCCAGCCGCCGC
rnacentral:rRNA from 1 species